rnacentral:rRNA from 1 species
AAUACGUUCCCGGGCCUUGUACACACCGCCCGUCAAGCCAUGGAAGUCUGGGGUACCUGAAGUCGGUGACCGUAACAGGAGCUGCCUAGGGUAAAACAGGUAACUAGGGCU